rnacentral:rRNA from 1 species
AUGCCUCUAUCUCACACUGGCAAAGAGCUAACAGCUGCUGCCAUUCUGCGCAAUGACGACAUUGAUCUGUCAAGUGAUGAAGAUCUUGCAGAUGACGCUCUUGAGCAACUCAUCAAGAGCAAAGAAGAAGCAGAAAUCUUCAAUGAUCUGCCUCUCUUUGAUGUCACCAUCAUCCACAACUUCAUUGACGAGUGGUUUGACACGCCAAACAUCAGCUUUGAAGAUCUGCAGCUACCCAUUGGCCUCAGUGUCGCCUUCCAAGGCGCCAUUGCUUCAGAACUUGCUAUUGCCCAGCGCAUUGUUGAACUGAAGCAGAAGAUUGACUAUGAAAAGGCUCAGUUCAAGAAGCAUAUGGCCAAGCUCAGCGUGCAAGAAGUGAAGAACUUCAAGACAAUGAUGCACGAGCUCAAGGAAGCCUUUGUGAAGAAGCGUGCAGAAGCUUAG